UCUGACGGACACGCCGCGUGAGUGAUGAAGGUUUUCGGAUCGUAAAGCUCUGUUGUUAGGGAAGAACAAGUACCGUUCGAAUAGGGCGGUACCUUGACGGUACCUAACCAGAAAGCCACGGCUAACUACGUGCCAGCAGCCGCGGUAAUACGUAGGUGGCAAGCGUUGUCCGGAAUUAUUGGGCGUAAAGGGCUCGCAGGCGGUUUCUUAAGUCUGAUGUGAAAGCCCCCGGCUCAACCGGGGAGGGUCAUUGGAAACUGGGGAACUUGAGUGCAGAAGAGGAGAGUGGAAUUCCACGUGUAGCGGUGAAAUGCGUAGAGAUGUGGAGGAACACCAGUGGCGAAGGCGACUCUCUGGUCUGUAACUGACGCUGAG
rnacentral:rRNA from 1 species